rnacentral:rRNA from 1 species
UUGACGGGGGCCCGCACAAGCAGCGGAGCAUGUGGUUUAAUUCGAAGCAACGCGAAGAACCUUACCAAGACUUGACAUCCCCUGACAGCUGUUGAAAGGCAGUGUCUCUUCGGAGCAGGGAGACAGGUGGUGCAUGGUUGUCGUCAGCUCGUGUCGUGAGAUGUUGGGUUAAGUCCCGCAACGAGCGCAACCCUUAUCCUUAGUUACCAGCACGUAAAGGUGGGGACUCUAGGGAGACCGCCGGGGACGACUCGGAGGAAGGUGGGGACGACGUCAAAUCAUCAUGCCCCUUAUGUCUUGGGCUACACACGUGCUACAAUGGCCGCAACAGAGGGAAGCGAGAGCGCAAGCUGGAGCAAAACCCUAAAAAGCGGUCCCAGUUCGGAUUGUGGGCUGCAACCCGCCCACAUGAAGUCGGAAUCGCUAGUAAUCGUGAAUCAGAAUGUCACGGUGAAUACGUUCCCGGGCCUU